UAAAAGGGAAGGCAGAGGUACAGGGGAAGGAAGCUUGCCUUUUGCUGCAGUGUGAGACAGUGCCUGGAUGUCUUGUGUCAUUGCACAUCUGGUGCAGAAAUAACCUGAACAUCAGAAGAAUUUGUUAAGACUUGUAACAGCCCAUGCAAAGAACUCAAGGUUUUGAACAAAUUCAAAAAGAGGACUUUGAGCAGAGCUGGAAAUGAGUGCAGGAGUUCUGGGUCAAGGUACCUCUGACUGAUUAAUUAUCCACUGAUGUGAUUCAAUCUCCAGAAAGAUCAGACAUACCCACCAUAAACCAACCAAGCUCAAAGCAAAGGUUUCUUUCCUGGGUGCUGGAGGGAGCAUUUCCCUGGAGAUGGCUACAAGAAGGAAUGUCUGUAGAGUCAUAUCUGGUUCUUGAAUAGGUGCCAUAAUCUGCCCAGGCUGCCUGAGGUCAAGCUUGUUCUGGGAUCUCUGGGUCUCUUGACAGAGCCUGCUGGAUGUUGGGACCUUGGAGCAGCACUCCUUGGGCUGUGGGUGAACACAGAUGGCUCUGGGCUGCUGGAGGAGGAAGCAGAGGAUGCUCUGGUGUUUGUAUGGAGAGAGAACAUGGCAAUCCCCCUCAUGAGACCAGCUCCAACACUGCAAAUGAUUCUGGUUUUGCUUUUUCCUUACAAAAGCACCAUAAUCCCAGCAAAUAAAAUGGCACAUCACAGGUGAUCCCAAUGAAGUCAGCCAAGCUUCUUAUGAAGCCCACAGCUAAAUAAGGAGCUGAGAUGUGAGGCCAGAAGAAGCAAGUCCAUGUGAUUUGAAUUGCAAUUCAGUUUGCUUUAGGAUUUUCUAGUUGAAAGACAAAAGUUGGCCCUCCCAGCCUGGUGCAGUGUAAGUGAGAUCUGUUAAAUGCCACUGGAGACUGUACUUUCAACCACCUAGAAAAUAAAUUGGAUAAGCACUUCAGUUGACACUAAAACCUUCAGUUUAAAACACUCUCACAUUAGUGAGAUUUUAUACAGUUUAAUAAAUUCUACACUGCUAUCAGAUCAGGAUUCUGUUAUCUGUAUGCUCAGUGUGAUGUGCGCUCUCCUGUGUUAAAAAUCCCCUCUUGUACUGGAAAAAAUCAAGGCCCAUUUCAGUCCAAGUUAGCUGCUCAUGAGAGUUUUUUGACGUUUUUCAAUUCUUUUAGUGACAUCUAGUGAAACUUGGGGAAAGUGCAAGUUCAGCUGAACUCCAAGGAGCAAUCCAACUGCAGUAGUAGAUGCUUCACAAUUAAAUGCCCAAAGUACUGUACCUUAUUUCAUUUACUGUCCUUAAGCUGCUGUUUAAGAAAUGCGCAAAAUGAAUUUUGGCCAUUAAAAUUUUUAAAG